CGGGUGGUAAUGCCGGAUGUUCCACAUGAUCGCAUGUGAUUGUGGGAAAGAUUCUAUCGGCGUGGGAUGGGGUCGCGUCCUAUCAGCUUGUUGGUGAGGUAACGGCUCACCAAGGCUUCGACGGGUAGCCGGCCUGAGAGGGCGACCGGCCACAUUGGGACUGAGAUACGGCCCAGACUCCUACGGGAGGCAGCAGUGGGGAAUAUUGCACAAUGGGCGCAAGCCUGAUGCAGCGACGCCGCGUGAGGGAUGGAGGCCUUCGGGUUGUAAACCUCUUUUGUUUGGGAGCAAGCCUUCGGGUGAGUGUACCUUUCGAAUAAGCGCCGGCUAACUACGUGCCAGCAGCCGCGGUAAUACGUAGGGCGCAAGCGUUAUCCGGAUUUAUUGGGCGUAAAGGGCUCGUAGGCGGCUCGUCGCGUCCGGUGUGAAAGUCCAUCGCUUAACGGUGGAUCUGCGCCGGGUACGGGCGGGCUGGAGUGCGGUAGGGGAGACUGGAAUUCCCGGUGUAACGGUGGAAUGUGUAGAUAUCGGAAAAAAACACCA
rnacentral:rRNA from 1 species